rnacentral:tRNA from 1 species
GGAGAGGUGUCAGAGUGGUCUAUCGUGUAGUCCUGGAAAGACUAUCUGUGUUAAAAGCGCAGCGAGGGUUCGAAUCCCUCCCUCUCCG